AGAGUUUGAUCCUGGCUCAGGAUGAACGCUGGCGGCGUGCCUAAUACAUGCAAGUCGAACGCGAAAGGUCUGAAGCUCCGGGCGGAGGGCCGAGUAGAGUGGCGAACGGGUGAGGAACACGUAGGUGACCUGCCCCGGAGAGGGGGAUAACCGUCGGAAACGGCGGCUAAUACCCCAUAAGCUCACGCGAGUUAGAGGGCGUGUGAGAAAAGCUCCGGCGCUCCGGGAGGGGCCUGCGGCCCAUCAGCUAGUUGGUAGGGUAAAGGCCUACCAAGGCGAAGACGGGUAGGGGGCCUGAGAGGGUGGUCCCCCACAUGGGAACUGAGACACGGUCCCAACUCCUACGGGAGGCAGCAGUAAGGAAUAUUGCACAAUGGGCGCAAGCCUGAUGCAGCAACGCCGCGUGCCCGAGGACGGCCUUCGGGUUGUAAAGGGCUUUUCUGGCUGACGAGGAAGGACGGUAGGCCAGGAAUAAGCGUCGGCUAACUACGUGCCAGCAGCCGCGGUAAAACGUAGGACGCGAGCGUUAUCCGGAUUUACUGGGCGUAAAGCGCGGGCAGGCGGUGGUCCAAGUCGGACGUGAAAGCUCCCGGCUCAACUGGGAGAGGUCGUUCGAAACUGGGCCGCUAGAGGGCAGUAGAGGGGCGUGGAAUUCCGGGUGGAGUGGUGAAAUGCGUAGAGAUCCGGAGGAACACCAGAGGCGAAGGCGGCGCCCUGGGCUGCACCUGACGCUGAGCCGCGAAAGCUAGGGGAGCGAACGGGAUUAGAAACCCCGGUAGUCCUAGCCGUAAACGAUGUCCACUAGAUGUCUGGGCGGAGCGCCUGGGCGUCGCAGCUAACGCGUUAAGUGGACCGCCUGGGGAGUACGGCCGCAAGGCUAAAACUUAAAUGAAUUGACGG
rnacentral:rRNA from 1 species